AUGGCAUCUUCUACUCUAAAACCAGGUGUGCCUAUUACUUUGCAAGAGCUAGAGCCCUCCUCAGAGAUGUUCAAGCAAGGGGCAUCCAUCCGGGUAACAGGAAUCCUUCAGUCAUAUGAUGUGGACUCUGCAGUUGCUGUCAUUCAAGAUGGCAGUGCUAGACUGAAGAUUGAUACUCAAAACCUGAGAGACAUUAGUUUCUGCAGUAAUUCCACGUUCCAGUUCAUCGGUGAACUCCUGAUCCAGCCAAACAACGAUGUAAUUUUUUCUCCUUCCAGAUUUUGCCAGUCAGUUUUGGUCUUAGUAUCAUUGGAACAAUGCUACAUCAAAUUUGGUGCUUGCGUCCUGCAGGCGAUUCUACAAGCACGUGUGGGCAGGAAUGUUGAUGGACUUGACCUGAACCUUUACCAGCAGUCUUUGAUCAUCCGACGGCAACAUGAAGCCAAACUACUGAGCUCCAGGAGGCCAUGA
rnacentral:rRNA from 1 species